rnacentral:rRNA from 1 species
GACGAACGCUGGCGGCGCGCUUAACACAUGCAAGUCGAACGGAAAGGCCCUGCUUUUGUGGGGUGCUCGAGUGGCGAACGGGUGAGUAACACGUGAGUAACCUGCCCUUGACUUUGGGAUAACUUCAGGAAACUGGGGCUAAUACCGGAUAGGAGCUCCUGCUGCAUGGUGGGGGUUGGAAAGUUUCGGCGGUUGGGGAUGGACUCGCGGCUUAUCAGCUUGUUGGUGGGGUAGUGGCUUACCAAGGCUUUGACGGGUAGCCGGCCUGAGAGGGUGACCGGCCACAUUGGGACUGAGAUACGGCCCAGACUCCUACGGGAGGCAGCAGCGGGGAAUAUUGCACAAUGGGCGGAAGCCUGAUGCAGCAACGCCGCGUGCGGGAUGACGGCCUUCGGGUUGUAAACCGCUUUCGCCUGUGACGAAGCGUGAGUGACGGUAAUGGGUAAAGAAGCACCGGCUAACUACGUG